rnacentral:tRNA from 1 species
GCAUUCUUAGCUUAAUUGGAUAGAGCAUUAGCCUUCUAAGCUAUUGGUUAAAGGUUCAAGUCCUUUAGAAUGUA